rnacentral:rRNA from 1 species
UACGGAGGAUCCGAGCGUUAUCCGGAAUUAUUGGGCGUAAAGAGCGCGCAGGUGGUUGAUUAAGUCUGAUGUGAAAGCCCACGGCUUAACCGUGGAGGGUCAUUGGAAACUGGUCGACUUGAGUGCAGAAGAGGGAAGUGGAAUUCCAUGUGUAGCGGUGAAAUGCGUAGAGAUAUGGAGGAACACCAGUGGCGAAGGCGAUUCUCUGGACUGUAACUGACGCUGAGGCUCGAAAGCGUGGGGAGCAAACAGGAUUAGA